AUUGAACGCUGGCGGCAUGCCUUACACAUGCAAGUCGAACGGUAACGGGCCUUCGGGUGCCGACGAGUGGCGAACGGGUGAGUAAUGCAUCGGAACGUACCUUUCAGUGGGGGAUAACGUAGCGAAAGUUACGCUAAUACCGCAUAUUCUGUGAGCAGGAAAGCAGGGGAUCGCAAGACCUUGCGCUGAUUGAGCGGCCGAUAUCCGAUUAGCUAGUUGGUAAGGUAAAGGCUUACCAAGGCGACGAUCGGUAGCUGGUCUGAGAGGAUGAUCAGCAACACUGGAACUGAGACACGGUCCAGACUCCUACGGGAGGCAGCAGUGGGGAAUAUUGGACAAUGGGCGCAAGCCAGACCGAGCAACGCCGCGUGAAUGAUGAAGGCCUUCGGGUUGUAAAAUUCUGUUAUAAGGGAAGAAUGGCUUUAGUAGGAAAUGGCUAGAGUGUGACGGUACCUUAUGAGAAAGCCACGGCUAACUACGUGCCAGCCGCCGCCGUAAAAC
rnacentral:rRNA from 1 species